GUAGCCAAAUCUUUGUACACCCAAACAAACUCACACAGAAAUCCACCUCCAUCAAAAUCAACGAUCUACACUUCUUCCAUGAUGUGAUCAUACCCAUCCAACGGCCUGUCUUCUUUGGAUCAUCCCGCACAUCAUACCUCCACCCCCGCCAUGCCCACUCCAUGCCUCGCGUACGUGCCUCGCGACGCGAGUUCGAUCCCCACGAGCGCUGAUUUUUCCACACACCGAAAAAAAGAAACACAGCCCUCCCCGUAUCGCUCCCUCCCACCGCCGCUUCCCUGCGUCGCUCCUCCCCGCGCCCCUCCCACCGCCGCCUCCCCGUGCCCCUUCCCUCCCCACCGGCACGCUCGAGGACGGGGAUGGCGGCGUCGUGCUCGGCUCCAGCGCGACGGGCCGCCUCCGACAUCCCAGGCGGAGCGCUCGCGCCCACCGCCGGAGAACGCCCACGCCCACGUCCGGUGCCGGACAACGCCCGCGGACGCCACCGCCGACGUCGCCCCCAGCACCCACCGGACGGAUCUCGGGGCGACCUGUCCGGGGCAGCGAACCGACGCUGGAUCUCGGAAGCCGUCGCUGGGCACUUGGUCGAGAGGGGGAGGGGGAGGCCGCUGGGCGCUGCACGGGCGGUUCGCCGUUGGAUAUGGGGGCAACAACUCUGCUUCUACGGUUCUACCUGACAUCCGGUCGCUAGACUAGCAGCACCAAAGGAAGCAUCCCUGCCGGCUGAGCAACACCGAAUGGUUGUAUCUUCUACUGGCAGAUUAGAUGAGGAUAGGUUGAUCCUGUUGUGAUUGUGUGCUCUACAAAGAAAGGGUGGAAGCAUGUUUCUUACCCGUCAGAAGUACAUUCAAUACCAAUCAUGUAACAACACUUGGGCAAGACGAACGUCGUAUAUGUGUGGAGCUAAAUUGUAUAUACCUCAGGUGUAUUAGCUACAUUCCGUGUGUACAAACAGGGGGACAGGAUAAGCAGUAUGCAGGCAAAACAAGGACAGGGAUCUCCAUCAGAAGAUAGAGACCAUGAUAAUGCAGCUGGAAUACAGUUUCUCUUUCCAGACAACAAUACCAUAUCCAGCUGAAGUUGCAGAGUCAAUUUAUCAAGUAGAAAACAUCCCUGUAAAACAUGGAGAUGAUGAGGACGGUCCUUAUCAAGAGAUGGAUACUGCUUGGAAGAGAAGCAGUGGGUUUUCUCGAGGUGCCUCCAUUUACUGAGGCGUGACAAGGCAUCACCAGCAUGGAAGAUGACAGUCUUGGAUUGACAGAGUUGCUGGAAACAAGGAUCUGUACCUCGGCACUUUCAGUAAGAGAGAUCUCUAUAUGACUGUAGGUUUUGUAUUUUGAAUCGACAAAUAUGUGGUGAGCAGAGCCUUUUGACGUAAGGGUACCUGCCGACCUGCCUCUUGUCUAUUGCUCCAUACAAAUAUAGGCUUUGAAAUAUAUGGUUCUAAAAAAAGUAUGCACUCCAGGCUUGAGGAAGGAGUGUUGAAGUGGACUUCAAAUAGUAUGUAAUUUUCUAGAGGAAUGCUAAUUACUUAGUCAUUUUUCUGCAACACUAAUCUGCACCAUCAUUACUGAUUCGAAAUUUGUUGACACAGGGAGGGAACAAGUUUCUGAGCUACUUCCAGUGAUGUAUCAAGGCCUCAAGAGGAGUCUGCCUGUGUGAACAAUUAGGUCUCGAUUUGCUAAAUAUCCAAAAAUGUGUAAUAUAUUUACUCUGAUGGCUGCUCUGUCGAUAUGUAUGAAAAACAAACCAGUUUUAUGUCUGCUUGUACAAACCGUCAUUAAUUUGUUUGUGACA